rfam:Brassica oleracea var. oleracea cultivar TO1000 chromosome C3, whole genome shotgun sequence
GCGCAUGUAGCUCAGGGGAGCGUAUGUUUCCUAAGCAGAAGGCCGAAGGUUCGACCCAUUCCUGGCGCG